rnacentral:lncRNA from 1 species
UUGAAGGGAUGCUGCCCUCAAGAUUAUUUCCUUGCAAUAAGAGUAUUGUUAACAUUUUCAAAUUUCCUAGAGAGGAUGGGAUGCUCCCUGAUAAUUGAAUGUUUUGAAGACCUAAUCGCCCAAGCUUUGAGAGUUUCCCAAUGUCGGUUGGAAUGUUACCUGUGAAGUGGUUGUUCCCCAUACCCAAUGAUUCUAAGUUAACGAAGUUCUACAAAUUUGGCACUUGUCCAAUGAGUUCAUUCUCUGAAACAUCGAAUUCCGCUAGAUUUUUGACAUUGGAUAUCGAGAGAGGAAUGGAACCAGUAAAUUUGUUCCCAUUGAAGUAAAAGUACUGGAGAUUAGCAAGAGUGUUGCCCAAGUAUGAGGAAAUACUCCCUUGAAGUUGGUUUUGGGACAAGUCAUACCCAACGAGAGCAGAGAGGUUACAAAUAGAUGGAGGAACAACACCAGAUAAUGCACAUGAAGCCAAUGAGAUAUAAGUUAAAUUUCUCAAUUGGCCUAGAGAACUAGGGAUGCUUCCUUCCAAAUUAUUACCAUUCAAACGAAAUAUCUUUGAAGACAAGAGGUUGGCAAACGAAGGAGGGAUUUCUCCAGUUAAAUCGUUCACUUGCAACACAAGUAAUUGAAGCUUAGAUAAGGUGGAAAUUUCUGGUGGAAUUUUCCCCACCAGGUUGUUGUAACCAACAUUGAGAUUAAUGAGGUUGAAGCAGCUAGAUACAUUGACAGGAAUAGGGCCGAUAAGCGAGUUAUUGUCUAAACGCAGUCCUGCAAUCUGUGCAAACGGCCAAUUUCUGGAGGGAUUUUGUCACUGAAGCUAUUGUUUUGGAGGUGAAGUGCCCUCAAGAAGCUUAGGUUCCCUAUCUGUUGGGGUAGGGACCCCACUAAAUUUUGAGACUUUAGGUCUAACACGAACUCCGCCGUGUAAGUUUAUCUUACAUUGCCGGUCCUAAGCCCGGAUAAAGGAGGAGGGGGAGGGCGUCAGGUAGUCGACAGCCGGCACUCCAUGAUCACGUCGAAUCCUUAUGAAAAUGAAUCCAGAACGAAUCGCGCUAAAGCUAGGGCGUCACCCGUAAGUGGCGCGCUGUGUGGCCCGAGCACAGUGAUAAGUGAGCAAGGGUCGCUGUAUCUCCAUCGGCACCCGGAUGCAGUGUUAAAUGAGCAAGGGGGCUAUAGAAACUUCUUUUCGAACAACUCCACUCAAAGUUGUUUGGGAGCAUAUGCUCCUAUCAACUUUACACGGGACACACAAAAGAAGUACUUUGAUCCUAUUAGACGGGGAAGGGUGAAGAAGCUAGGACAGAAGGGUAGAGUUCAAGAGAGCAAAAUGCGGUUAGGAACGUGGAAUAUAGGAACCUUGACGGGAAAAUCUAUGGAAGUAGUAGAAGUUAUGGUGAGGAGAAGGAUAAAUAUUAUGUGCCUACAAGAAACUAAGUGGGUUGGUCGUAAGGCAAAGGAUCUAGAAAACUCAGGGUUUAAACUAUGGUAUUCGAGCACAAAUAGAACGAGAAAUGGUGUUGGCAUCAUCGUGGACAAGACCUUGACACAAGAUGUUGUAGAUGUCAAGAGGGUAGGAGAUAGAAUCAUGGCAAUCAAGAUUGUAAUAGGACAAGAACUUAUCAAUGUGAUUAGUGCGUACGCACCUCAAGUAGGGUUGGAUACGAGUUCGAAGGAGAAAUUUUGGGAAGACCUUGGAGACUUGGUGCAAGGAAUUGCUCAGACGGAGAAGUUAUUUAUAGGAGGAGAUUUAAAUGGACACGUGGGCAGGGAGACAGGCAACUAUGGAGGUUUUCAUGGUGGCCAUGGUUUUGGGGAGAGAAACGAGGAUGGGGAAGCUAUCUUGGAUUUUGCAAUGGCAUAUGAUCUCUUCUUAGCCAACACCUUCUUUAAGAAGAGAGAAGAACAUGUGAUCACCUACAAGAGUGGGUCGUCAAAAACACAAAUAGAUUUUCUUCUAAUGAGGAAAGAGGAUCGUAUAACUUGUAAGGAUUGCAAAGUUAUACAAGGAGAGAGCGUGGCUAAUCAACAUCGCUUGUUGGUGAUGGAUGUACAUAUCAAAAGAGUGAGAAAAAAGAACAAGACUUGGAAGUGCCCAAGGACUAGAUGGUGGAAUCUAAAAGAAGAAAAACAAGCCAUUUUCAAAGAGAAAGUAAUCACCCAGUGUGUGUGGGAUAGAGAGGGGGAAGCUAACCAAAUGUGGGAUUCCAUGGCUAGUUGUAUCCGAAAAGUAGCAAAAGAGGUAUUAGGAGAGUCCAAGGGCUUUGCCCCACACCAAAAAGAAUCUUGGUGGUGGAAUGAGGAGGUACAAACAAAGGUGAAGGCUAAGAAGGAAUGUUGUAAAGCCUUAUACAAGGAUAGGACCGAUGAAAAUGGUGAAAGGUAUAGAAAAGCGAAGCAAGAGGCGAAGAAAGCUGUGAGAGAAGCUAAGUUAGCGGCUUAUGACGAUAUGUAUAAGCGACUAGAUACCAAAGAAUAAGAGUUGGAUAUCUAUAAACUAGCUAGAGCAAGGGAAAAGAAGACAAGGGACCUAAACCAAGUGAGGUGCAUCAAGGAUGAGGAUGGAAAGGUUCUUGCUACAGAGAACGCGGUUAAAGACAGAUGGAAAGGUUAUUUUCAUAAUCUUUUCAAUGAAGGACAUGAAAGGAGUGCUUCUUUAGGGGAGUUGAGUAACUCAGAAGAGUGUAGAAACUACUCUUUUUAUCGUAGAAUCCGGAAGGAAGAAGUGGUUGUAGCUUUGAAGAAGAUGAAGCAUAGAAAAGCAGUAGGCCCAGACGAUAUACCAAUCGAAGUGUGGAAAGUUUUGGGAGAGACAGGUAUAACAUGGUUCACUGACCUUUUCAAUAGGAUUUUGAAAACGAAGAAGAUGCCAAAUGAGUGGCGAAUGAGCACUUUUGGUGCCUAUCUACAAGAAUAAGGGCGAUGUACAAAAUUGCAUGAACUAUAGGGGUAUUAAGCUAAUGAGUCAUACAAUGAAGCUUUGGGAGAGAGUCAUUGAGCAUAGAUUGAGGCAAGAGACACGGGUUUCGGACAACCAAUUCGGGUUCAUGCCAGGGCGCUCAACCAUGGAGGCAAUCUAUCUCUUAUGAAGAUUGAUGGAAAGAUAUAGAGAUGGGAAAAAGGAUUUACACAUGGUCUUUAUAGAUUUGGAAAAAGCGUAUGAUAGGGUCCCAAGAGACAUUCUUUGGAGGAUUUUAGAGAAGAAAGGAGUACGAGUAGCAUAUAUCCAAGCUAUACAGGAUAUGUAUGAAGGAGCAAAGACUGCCGUAAGAACUCAUGAAGGACAAACCGAAAGCUUUCCCAUAACUGUAGGAUUACAUCAAGGUUCAUCCUUAAGUCCUUACCUUUUUGCGUUGGUAAUGGAUGAGUUAACAGGACAUAUUCAAGAUGAUAUUCCUUGGUGUAUGCUUUUCGCAGACGAUAUAGUGUUGAUAGAUGAAACUCAGGAAGGGGUAAAUGCAAAGCUUAACCUUUGGAGAGAAGUGUUGGAAUCUAAAGGUCUUCGCCUAAGCCGAUCAAAGACAGAAUAUAUGGAGUGCAAGUUCAGUGCAAAUGGAGGCCAAAACGAGUUAGGGGUGAGGAUCGGAGAUCAAGAAAUACCAAAGAGCGACCGUUUUCGUUACCUAGGAUCUAUCUUGCAAAAGAACGGAGAAUUAGAUGGAGAUCUCAACCGUAGAAUACAAGCUGGAUGGAUGAAGUGGAAGAGUGCAUCCGGCGUGUUGUGUGACCGCCGUAUGCCACUGAAGCUCAAGGGAAAAUUUUAUAGGACGGCAAUAAGGCCGGCGAUGCUGUAUGGCACAGAAUGUUGGGCGGUGAAGCAUCAACAAGUACACAAAAUGGGUGUAGCGGAGAUGAGGAUGCUUCGUUGGAUGUGUGGGCACACGAGAAAGGAUAAGAUUAGGAAUGAGGAUAUCCGGGGUAAAGUAGGAGUAGCCGAAAUUGAAGGAAAGAUGAGAGAAAAUCGGUUACGGUGGUUUGGACAUGUGCAAAGAAGGCCUACUGACGCUCCGAUUAGAAGAUGCGACUAUAGGACAGAGGUUCAGGGCCGAAGGGGUAGAGGAAGACCUAGGAAAACUUUGGAAGAGACCCUAAAAAAAGACUUAGAGUACUUGGAUCUAACGGAGGACAUGACACAGGACAGAACACAAUGGCGUUCUAAGAUUCAUAUAGCCAAUCCCACUCAGUGACUUGGAUUUUCCAAGUCUCCAACCGAGAAGUUUUCCUCACUCGGGAAAUUAAGGGAACACUACCUCAACCUACAUGCUCCACUCACAAAGCUUCAACAUACAAGCUUCAACAAAAAAAAAAUUCAAAGAACUUAGCGAAGAAGGCUUUGGUGUAUUUAACACAAUACGUUAAAAUGAAGGAAAGCUUAUUUAUUGAUAUCCCCGAUAAGUUACAAAUAUGUACAUAUACUUGAGUCAAAAUAAACAAACAAGAGGGAGCCUUCACAAAGGUUGCUUAGGAGAAGUCUCAGCAGUCGGUAGAGCCCCAGAAAGAGAAGGCACCGGAGGGGGAUCAUUCGGAGCCUCAGUACUGGACAAAACCCUAGAAGGAGGAGGCAUCAGAGGUUGAUCAUUUGGAGCUUCAUUACGCGGUGUAGCCCCAGAAGACGAAGGCAAUAAAUGCCUUUGGAACAAACCCACAAAUCUCUGAUGAUCAAGUAAAACCUGACCAUCAGAUUCCUUCAUCUGGUCAAGCUUCCUCUUCAUGUUUGUAGCAUAGUCAUGUGCGAGCCGGUGCAACUGUUUAUUCUCAUGCUUGAGCCCUCUAAUCUCCUGUUUGAGACUCAUCACUUCAGCCGCCAAUGAUUCAACUUGGCGGGUUCGAGCAAAUAGGCGUUGGGCCAUAUUAGACACAGAACCUGCACACUUAACACUGAGAGCCAGAGAAUCCUUAACAGCCAACUCAUCAGACCGUUUGGAAAGUAGUCUGUUAUCUUUGGGAGUGAGAAGGUUCCUGGCCACUACCGCAGCGAUCAUAUCAUUCUUUAUCACGGAAUCCCCAACGGUAAGAGGACCAGUAGGGGAGACGAAGGAUGGGCGCCAUAUGUUGUCUGGAGAAGGCGGGGCUGCCUCUUCAACAAGGUUCAAGUCAAAACGACGGUCGGAGGGGCCAGACAUUUUCAAAGGUGUUGAAGAGAGAAGAGGUCGGACAAAUCAAGAUCUUAGAAGUGCAAGAAUGGAGCUUCUACUGGUGGAUAUUCAAGUGUGCUUUGGAACUUAAUGUCAGCCCCUAUAAAAAUCUACACUCGACGAAGCUUCAGAAAUCGAAGAGGCGCCUGCUCAGAAAUCGAAGAGGCGUUUGCUUUCUCAAAAGCUGGGCUGCUCAGAGACCACGAGGGUCGAUCUCAGAAAUCGAAGAGGCGUUUGCUUUCUCAAAAGCUGGGCUGCUCAAAGACCACGAAGGCCGAUCUCAGAAAUCGAAGAGGUUUGCUUUCUCAAAAGCUGGGCUGCUAAGAGACCACGAGGGCCGAUCUCAGAAAUCGAAGAGGCACCUACUUUUCCAGCCUUGUCAGCACCUGUCACACGCAUACUCAGCUUUGCGGAAAUUAUGGGCAUUCUGUCGAAGAUUUCUAGCGAAGUAGAAAGCACAUGAAUCGUACUGUUCAAUCACCCACUUCCCACACGCAACAGUAACUCAUGGGUACCACAGAUAACUUUGCCAAAGUUCUCUGACAAAGUUGUGACACGUGAAGCUUGCAGCUCCCGCUACAUCGCUCUGACCAAGAAGGGUAAAAGAAUUGCAAAGAAACAACACUAACAAAGUUUAGACACAUAAAUUUUGAAGGUCUAGCUACCAUAUUAUUACCCACAAGGGUAAAGGAACAGUACCACUGCUGGAUAAUUGGAAAGUCCCGGUGUGUCAACUUCUGUGCUUCGUGGUAAGGUAGACUAGCAAACAUGCCCAACCUUUACUCACAUUCGAGAAAACACUCCCAACAUGAUUGCUUUCUCCAAAAUCGAAGAGGCACCGCCCUCCGAAUCUCGAGAGCCAGACUCCCAACAUGAUUACUUUCUCAAAAUCGAAGAGAGGGUAAAGGAACAGUACCACUGCUGGAUAAUUGGAAAGUCCCUGUGUGUCAACCUUUGUGCUUCGUGGCAAGGUAGACUAGCAAACAUGCCCAACCUUUACUCACAUUCGAGAAAACACUCCCAACAAGAUUGCUUGCUCCAAAAUCGAAGAGGCACCGCCCUCCGAAUCUCGAGAGCCAGACUCCCAACAUGAUUACUUUCUCAAAAAUCGAAGAGAGGGUAAAGGAACAGUACCACUGCUGAAUAAUGGGAAAGUCCCUGUGUGUCAACCUCUGUGCUUCGUGGCAAGGUAGACUAGCAAACAUGCCCAACCUUUACUCACAUUCGAGAAAAACACCCCAACAAGAUUGCUUGCUCCAAAAUCGAAGAGGCACCGCCCUCCGAAUCUCGAGAGCCAGACUCCCAACAUGAUUACUUUCUCAAAAAUCGAAGAGACACCGCUCUCCGAAUCUCGAGAGCCAGACCCCCAGCAGGAUUGCUUUCUCAAAAAUCGAAGAGGCAUCGUUCUCCGAAUCUCGAGAGCCAGAUCCCCGACAGGAUUGCUUGUUCGAAAACCGAAGAGGCACCACUUUCCCAACUUCAAGAGCUGGAUCUCCUUGGAUAAAGCUUGUCUGUAAUCUUCACACGCAACAUCAGCUUUCCAGAUACCACAGACCACUUUUUCAAAGUGCUCUGACAGAGUUAAAACAUGUGAAGCUGGCAGCUCCCACUAUCGUGCUAUGACCAAGCAGGGUAAAGGAAUAGCAUUAUUACUUGAUGUUAGGGAGACUCCUAUAUAUGUCGACCUCCAUCCCUAACGGACAGGCAGACCUGCAAAAAUGCCCAACCCUUUCUCUUAUCUGAGAGGGCACUCCCAACGAAGCCUUUCGAAAUAUUCAGCUUUCUUUCCCCCCGAUAAUACCUUUGUAAACAAGCUAUACUAGAGCAAGAAUAUCUCAUAUCAUCAGGGUUAAAAGCAAGAGUAUCCCAUAUCAUGCUUUUUCCCUGUCUUUUCCUUUAGCCUUGUUCUUAUCUGCAAGACAAGGAGAAAGAGAGCAAUCAAUCAGCACUUGGAAUCAAGCUUCCAGCCAAGAACUGACUGCCUGGAACCCCUUACCUGAUUACUUACCUGGCAUUGCUCUCGAGUACUCAUCUUCAACAUCUUAUGCUUCCAGGGAAGAUACCGCAUCUGCCUGAGGAACAGAUAGGGCAAGUGAGAAGGAUACAAGGAAGCAUGUGGAGACAAGCGUAACAGCACACGUGCCGAUACAUCCACUACUCUGUCAAAAGCAAAAGUAUCCCAUAUCAGCAGGGUCGAACGUACUCUAGAUUUGAUGGACUUGUUUUGACCCUCAAAUUCUUCAGUCGGCCUUAUACUCUGGAGGAAACCAGAAAACCCUCCAGCCCGGUUCAAGAAUAAGCCUGUGGAAAGUUACUUCUUCAAAAGCAAAAGUAUCCCAUAUCAUUUCUUCUCAUUUUUCUUCUCUUUAUCCUUCAUGCUGCCUGCAAGAUAGGGAGAAUGUGAACAAUCAGCCGGAGCUCUGAUUGCUUACCUUGUCUGUCACCUCUUUCAGCAGAUCCCCUAGCCCGGCGACUUGGGGGACUCCUACUACAUGGUUUGUAUCGCGCUUGACCAAGCCUGAAACUACAAGUAAGCUUCAAGUGAAAUUGAUACAUUACCUUGUGCAUCUCCACCAGUUACAGAUACCACCCCUGGAUGGAGGAAGAGUACUUCCAGAGAAGAUGCCACAUCUACCUAUGAGACAGAUAAGGCAAGUCAAGACGAUACCACACUCCGGUACUUAGAAGUUUCGUGGUUACGAGAUCAUUCUCCCACAAUAUUUCCUAAUGUCAUUUGUACUAAAUCAUUCACUUGUACUCACUAAAGGAGAGCUUGAACCUAUGUACUUGUGUAAACCCUUCACAUUAAUGAGAACUCCUCUAUUCCGUGGACGUAGCCAAUCUGGGUGAACCACGUACAUCUUGUGUUUGCUUUCCUAUCUCUAUCCAUUUAUAUACUUAUCCACAUUAAUGACCGGAGCAAUCUAGCGAAGAUCACAAAAAGUGACCGUUUUCGCUACCUAGGAUCUAUCUUGCAAGAGAACGGAGAAUUAGAUGGAGAUCUCAACCAUAGAAUACAAGCUGGAUGGAUGAAGUGUAAGAGUGCAUCCGGCGUGUUGUGUGACCGGCGUAGGCCACUGAAGCUCAAGGGAAAAUUUUAUAGGACGGCAAUAAGGCCAGCGAUGUUGUAUGGCACAGAAUGUUGGGCGGUGAAGCAUCAACACGUACACAAAAUGGGUGUAGCGGAGAUGAGGAUGCUUCGUGGGAUGUAUGGGCACACGAUAAAGGAUAAGAUUGGGAAUGAGGAUAUCCGAGGUAAAGUAGGAGUAGCCAAAAUUGAAGAAAAUAUGAGAGAAAAUCGGUUACAGUGGUUUGGACAUGUGCAAAGAAGGCCUACUGACGCUCCGGUUCGAAAAUGUGACUACGGGACAGAGGUUCGGGGCCGAAGGGGUAGAGGAAGACCUAGGAAAACUUUGGAAGAGACCCUAAGAAAAGACUUGAGUACUUGGAUCUAACGGAGGACAAGACACAAAACCGAGCGCAAUGGCGUUCUAGGAUUCAUAUAGCCGACCCCACUUAGUGGGAAAAUGCUUUGUUGUUGUUGUUGUAGGUCUAACACGGUGACCCUCUGGUGCUGUUGUGGACUGCAGGCGACUCCAUGCCAUUGACAAAAGUGAACCGAAUCAUUCCAUGAGCUUAUGACCCUGUGAGGGUCCUGCUUUAUUUGAGCUCUGAUGGCUAGCAGUGCUAGCCUAUCUGUCUCAUUCCCUUGCUCUGAGCUCCAACAGCACAAUAGUGCAGUGAAAAAUGAGCAUGUUAAGAUCAAUAUGUGAAAAAAAGUGACCAUUUUAGAGAGAGAGAGAGAGAGAGAGAGAGAGAGAGAGAGAGAGAGAUUGGGUUGAGAUGUGAAAAUGGUAAGUUUGAUUUCAAACUAGGCAUGAAAUGCUAAUUUGAACCGUCUUGUUCUCUCUGUCACUUAAUACCUAA